rnacentral:rRNA from 1 species
UGCAGUCGAGCGGACUUUAAAGCUUGCUUUUAAAGUUAGCGGCGGACGGGUGAGUAACACGUGGGCAACCUGCCUGUAAGACUGGGAUAACUUCGGGAAACCGGAGCUAAUACCGGAUAAUUCUUUCCACCACAUGGUGGAAAGCUGAAAGACGGCAUCUCGCUGUCACUUACAGAUGGGCCCGCGGCGCAUUAGCUAGUUGGUGAGGUAACGGCUCACCAAGGCAACGAUGCGUAGCCNACCUGAGAGGGUGAUCGGCCACACUGGGACUGAGACACGGCCCAGACUCCUACGGGAGGCAGCAGUAGGGAAUCUUCCGCAAUGGACGAAAGUCUGACGGAACAACGCCGCGUGAGUGAUGAAGGUUUUCGGAUCGUAAAGCUCUGUUGUUAGGGAAGAACAAGUACAAGAGUAACUGCUUGUACCUUGACGGUACCUAACCAGAAAGCCACGGCUAACUACGUGCCAGCAGCCGCGGUAAUACGUAGGUGGCAAGCGUUGUCCGGAAUUAUUGGGCGUAAAGCGCGCGCAGGCGGUCCUUUAAGUCUGAUGUGAAAGCCCACGGCUCAACCGUGGAGGGUCAUUGGAAACUGGGGGACUUGAGUGCAGAAGAGAAGAGUGGAAUUCCACGUGUAGCGGUGAAAUGCGUAGAGAUGUGGAGGAACACCGGUGGCGAAGGCGACUCUUUGGUCUGUAACUGACGCUGAGGCGCGAAAGC